rnacentral:rRNA from 1 species
AUUGAACGCUGGCAGCAUGCCUAACACAUGCAACUCGAGCGAGCGGCGGACGGAUGCGUAAUGUCUGGGAAACUGCCGGAUGGAUGGGGAUAACUACUGCAAACGGUAGCUAAUACCGCAUACCAUCAGCUGUGCCCAGAUGGGAGUAGCUAGGAGGGGGGGUAACGGCUCACCUAGGCGACGAUCCCUAUCUGGUUUGAGAGGAUGACCAGCAAAAGUGGACGUUAGCAUCGGUCCAGCCUCCAACGGGAUGCAGCAGUGGGGCCAAUUGCACAAGAGGCGCAAUCCGGCUGCCGCCAUGCCGCGUGGUUGAAGAAGGACUUUGGGUUGUAAAGCACUUUCAGCGGGGAGGCGGUACCCGCAGAAGAAUCACUGGCUAACUCCGUGCCAGCAGCCGCGGUAAUAC